rnacentral:rRNA from 1 species
GGGGGGGGGGGGGGGGGGGGGGGGGGCGGGCGGGGCGGGCGGGAGGGCCCUGCUUUGGUGGGGUGCUCGAGUGGCGGACGGGUGGGUGACACGUGGGUCACCUGCCCUUGACGUUGGGAUAACUUCAGGAAACUGGGGCUAAUACCGGAUAGGAGCUCCUGCUGCAUGGGGGGGGUUGGAAAGUUUCGGCGGUUGGGGAUGGACUCGCGGCUUCUCAGCUUGUUGGUGGGGUAGUGGCUUACCAAGGCUUUGCCGGGUAGCCGGCCUGAGAGGGUGACCGGCCACAUUGGGACUGAGAUACGGCCCAGACUCCUACGGGAGGCAGCAGUGGGGAAUAUUGCACAAUGGGCGGAAGCCUGAUGCAGCAACGCCGCGUGCGGGAUGACGGCCUUCGGGUUGUAAACCGCUUUCGCCUGUGACGAAGCGUGAGUGACGGUAAUGGGUAAAGAAGCACCGGCUAACUACGUG